UAGUUUUAACAAUGUAAUAUAAUUUAUCAAUUUAACUAAAACAUGGUCAAUAACGUAGCGGAUCAAAUUAGCUGUUAGCCAUUGUAGGAGUCAGGUCAAGUCAUAGUAUCAAUGCUCUUAGCCUUAAGGUCAACCCAGAGGAUUCCAGUUUAAUGGUCAAGCCCUAUUUGAUUUCCAAGUCGGAUACUUUUUUGAAAGAGCUUUUUGAAGAUUCUGCCACUAUAAUAAUAAAAAUAAUUAAAUCUCACA